AUUGACCGCUGGCGGCAGGCCUAACACAUGCAAGUCGCACGAGUGGCGGACGGGUGAGUAAUGUCUGGGAAACUGCCUGAUGGAGGGGGAUAACUACUGGAAACGGUAGCUAAUACCGCAUACCAUCAGAUGUGCCCAGAUGGGAUUAGCUGGUUGGUGGGGUAAAGGCUCACAAAGGCGACGAUCCCUAGCUGGUCUGAGAGGAUGACCAGCCAAACGAGAACUUGGACACGUGCCAGACUCCUACGGGAGGCAGCAGUGGGGAAUAUUGCACAAUGGGCGCAAGCCUGAUGCAGCCAUGCCGCGUGGAUGAAGAAGGCCUUCGGGUUGUAAAGUACUUUCAGCGGGGAGGCGUUACCCGCAGAAGAAGCACCGGCUAACUCCGUGCCAGCAGCCGCGGUAAUAC
rnacentral:rRNA from 1 species